rnacentral:rRNA from 1 species
CCUACGGGGGGCAGCAGUGAGGAAUAUUGGUCAAUGGACGCAAGUCUGAACCAGCCAUGCCGCGUGCAGGAAGACGGCCCUAUGAGUUGUAAACUGCUUUUGUACGAGGGUAAACGCAGAUACGCGUAUCUGUCUGAAAGUAUCGUACGAAUAAGGAUCGGCUAACUCCGUGCCAGCAGCCGCGGUAAUACGGAGGAUUCAAGCGUUAUCCGGAUUUAUUGGGUUUAAAGGGUGCGUAGGCGGUCGGAUAAGUUAGAGGUGAAAUCCCGAGGCUCAACUUCGGAAUUGCCUAUGAUACUGUUAGGCUAGAGAGUAGUUGAGGUAGGCGGAAUGUAUGGUGUAGCGGUGAAAUGCUUAGAGAUCAUACAGAACACCGAUUGCGAAGGCAGCUUACCAAGCUACUUCUGACGUUGAGGCACGAAAGCGUGGGGAGCAAACAGGAUUAGAUACCCUUGUAGUC